GAAGCCAAAAACCAGAGAGAUUCUUUUUUUUAAGGGAGCUGUCAAAAUUAGUAGGGACGUUCUGACAUUAGCUCUUGACAAUUUAAAAAUAAUCGGUUUUUUCUAGUGCCAUCUUUCAGUGACAUUGACAGUAUUGUAUUGACACUUGUUGGUUUACAAAUACAAUAAAAUGAAUUCUAAUAAAAGAAACAGUAGACUCAGUAGAGGUACGAGGUACUGAAAAAAUAUUAAUUAAUGGAGAAGCCGAAGUUGGAGGAAAACAAGAAGAUUCGAGGAGAAUGGUGUGGCACUUAAUGCCGCCGGGACAGUAACCUAGCUGCAGCUCCAACUCUAGGGAAUUGGGCUGAAUGAACGCAACACGUGAUCGACAGCCCACCUGCUUCCUGCCGAGCGUCCCUACACUACAUCUACAUGGAUUCGCUUAUUCUGCUCUACAAAACUUCUGAGCUGAUACAAGCAGCCAGAAUGAGUCUCUGCUGAGUCGCCGGCGCCGGACGUGCGUCGCGCGCCUCGGGCGACUGACGUCUUCGUGUGAGUCGCCAAUUGCAGGGGAAGAUACGAAUAGUUAGGUAUAAAAGCUACUUUAGUCAACCUCGCCUCAGUACUGUUUGUAUUGACUGAAAUACAAGUAGCAUAUAUGAGACGUUCGGACGUAUCCGUGAAAAUACGAAGGUAAAGGAAAUUGCACUACAUUUUUAGAACCUAUUCACCUGUCAGUAAAAUAUUGAAAAGGAAAGUUCAUGAGUUUUAUUAUUUUCUUUCCUCCAACAGCUUCACAUGGAGCAAAUGUAAACCUUUUAUGUUAAUAAAUAUCAGUAAUGUCAAGGUACAACGCUCUUUAGAGCAUAUUGCCAUUCCUUUUACUCGAGUGGCCUGUGGGUUAACUAUACGAAGCGAGCCUACGAUGCAUUAAAAGUGCAGUAUAACAAUGCAUUCAGAAUGCUGUUGGGCUUACCUCGUAGAUGUAGUGCAUCUGGCAUGUUUUGCGAAGCUAGAAGUUUUCUGGCAAUCAUGCGCAAGAAAAUAGUAUCUCUGCUAGGUCGAGUUAGAAGCAGUCCCAAACAUACAUGUUCGAAAAGUAGAACUCCCUUAGUAGGCCAAGCAAUAAGAAGUUAUAGAGGGAAAUGCUAGGAACACAAUUUUUGACUACGUAACUUUGUUUGGACUAGUUAGGAGGUGAACAUAUCAAAAGUCCCCGGCUGUAGCCCCGGUGCUGGGGGGUAGACUAGUUAUAGUCCAAACAAAGUUACGGAGUCAAAAACUGUGUUCCUAGCAUUUCCCUCUACAACGUUUUUUGAGCAUUCAUUUCCUGACCUAUAGAUCGUGUUUCAAUUUAUCGCCUCUCGUUGGCAAUUAAGGUGGUUCGCUUUCCAUACAAAAAAAACAAUUACAUAAGUACCUAAUAGUGUGUAAUUACUUAAUAUAACGCAAUUGUUUUUUGUAUGGAAAGCGAACCACCUUAACUAUUCGCACAACGUUUUGUAGUUGCAGUAAGUACUUACAUAUGGCCGGUUAAAUUUUCGAAAUAGGUAUGUAUUUACGUACAGUGCUAAUUGCCGCACAUAGAAUAAUUAAAGUUUGAUCAAUCGGAAUAUGUUUCUAAGUCACUUAUUACAUUUCGAAUUAUAAGUCUGUAUUUUACAGCUUUAGAUGUGCAUGACUGCAUAUGCACAUCUAAAGCUGAAAAAUGCUUUCAUGAAAUUAUGGCUAAAUUAUGUUAAUAGGGACAAAUGUAUCAUUUUCAACCAAAUGGGUUCUUAUUAUCUGUUGUCAAUAAGGCGCUAUUUCCAUAAAGCUUCAAUUUGAAAUCAGCCUCGUCGACAACCGACAAUGUUAACCUUUUGGUUGAAAACGUCACAAAUUAUGGCGAUAGAGAAUACAAUGUUCUGUUGCCAGAGUGCAGCACUAGUAAAACCCGUAAACGAGUGAAUUGCAAAAAAGUGUAGGUAACACAAUGGAAUAUUCACAAAAAUAUGAAAGAAUGUAACACAAAAUGAAGAAAAUGUAUGUGUUUUUUUUUGUGUUACGUCACACAAAGGACGCCAAAAUCGACGCCGCAAUAUUUUUCACGACGUGUAGAAUAAAAGUGGCGUCGAAUUCAGGAAUCCGCAAAUACUAUGGUAGCCGAUAGCCAAGUAAUUUAUCAAUAGAACAAUGUUAAAACAGUAGUAGAAACGGUGAGCUUUGCAAACUUUUAGUAGAUUGGUGUGGUUUUGGUAGCUUUCUCGGUUUGGCAUGCUUGAUGCUCUUCACAUCACCACAGACGGAGGUCGACAGUUCGAAUCUGUCUCGUUCAACCAAUUGAUGGAGGCACAUGCACGCAUACGAAGUAUACGAACCACAUAUUACACUACCAUCCUGGAGCUAAUUGGAUUAUUUGCAUCUACUAUUAUAGUAUAUACCUAUGCCUUAUUUUUACGCCUAAGACCCUAAGCUUUUAACAAAAACCAUUAUUUCUUUUAUACCUACGGGCGGUUUAGCUCCCGUACCUACCUCUAUUAUACCUAGCCACGUGCUAAAGCAACAAUGUCCUUUAAAUCCGUAUCCCGUAUCGUGAUAGUAUUAAGAUUCAACUCGUCUACAUCGAGGUGGUCGAUCGUCCUAAAUACAUUAC